UAUUCGAUGCAACGCGAAAAACCUUACCUGGUCUUGACAUGUACGGAAUCCUUUAGAGAUAGAGGAGUGCCUUCGGGAACCGUAACACAGGUGCUGCAUGGCUGUCGUCAGCUCGUGUCGUGAGAUGUUGGGUUAAGUCCCGCAACGAGCGCAACCCUUGCCAUUAGUUGCUAACAUUUAGUUGAGCACUUUAAUGGGACUGCCGGUGACAAACCGGAGGAAGGUGGGGAUGACGUCAAGUCCUCAUGGCCCUUAUGACCAGGGCUUCACACGUCAUACAAUGGUCGGUACAGAGGGUCGCUAACCCGCGAGGGGGUGCCAAUCUCACAAAACCGAUCGUAGUCCGGAUUGCACUCUGCAACUCGAGUGCAUGAAGUCGGAAUCGCUAGUAAUCGCGGAUCAGCAUGUCGCGGUGAAUACGUUCCCGGGCC
rnacentral:rRNA from 1 species